GUUUAUCAGAAGGUUUCUCAAAAAUGGUAUAUCAAAAUGUUUCUCAAAAAGGGGUUAGCAAAAGGUUUCUCAAAAUGAUUUAUUCAAAUGUUUCCAAAAAAUGGUGUUUCAAAAGGUUUCUCAAAAGGUAGCAGUUUCAAUAGGUUUCUCAAUGGAAGCAGUUUCAUAAGAUGGUUUCUCAAUAGAGGCAAUUUCAAUAGGUUUCUUAAAGGCUUGUUACACUGGUUUCUGAAAGGCUUGUUACAAUGGUUUCUGAAAGGCUUGUUACACUGGUUUCUGAAAGGCUUGUUACAUAGGUUUCUGAAAGGCUUGUUACAUAGGUUUCUGAAAGGCUUGUUACAUAGGUUUCUGAAAGGCUUGUCAAUCAGAUAGAGCGGUAGAGGAGACAGGAAAGUCAGAGCGUCCAAAAUUUAGCUAGAGGGAUAGAGCAAAGGGGGACACAAGAUAGAGUGGCUUUUCAAUUAGAUAGAGCGGUAGAGGAGACAGGAAAGUCAGAGCGUCCAAAAUUUAGCUAGAGGGAUAGAGAAAAGGGGGACACAAGAUAGAGUGGCUUUUUAAUCAGACAGAGCGGUAGAGGAGACAGGAAAGUCAGAGUGGCCAAAAAGAUAGGGGAGAGUGGGGAGACUGGACACGAUACCUGUAAGACACAAUGAAAACAAACAUGAAUCAUUUUUUAUAAAAGAAAUAAAAUGAACCAACAUCCACCCAAAGCUAAUGUCAUUAUUAUGUGCUUUUACUUAACCCACCAUAUGGCUAUCCUUAACUAUACAUCUAUCAAAAGCCAAGUUGAGUCAAAUUCUGGAAUUGACCAUUGCCCUGUUUGAUAACCCAUCAAUCAAAUUAAUAAGAACUAAAAAUCCAAAGUGUUCAUAAGAUUUAAUCAAAAAUUAAUUUAAGAUACGAAGAACUUUAUUUAUCCCCUAAGGGAAAUUCAAUUGUCUAUAGUCUCAUUUGUCAUGUCUCAAAAAGUCAUCUACUAUUCAAAUUGUAGAGUCUGAUGGCUGUGGGUACAAAAGAUCUUCUGAAUCUUUUUUUCCUGCAGCGAAGAGAGAGGAGC